rnacentral:lncRNA from 1 species
UCGUCUUUUACAAUGGGGUGGCUUCAAAUAUCCAACAGAGAGAUAAUGUCAUUGGUCAUGUAUUAGAGUCCCAAAAUCAGUCAAGUUGAAGCAAAUCCAUUUAUACGGUGAAUUUUUCGGGUGCAAAUCGACCCAAGAUUAAUAUUAACAGUAACAAAAUGUAGCAGCACCAUAUUAGUGAUAAUAAUGACAAAAAUAAAGAGCAAAAUCAUAACAAUAAUAAUAAAACGUCAAUGAGCAGGAAUCAACAAAGAAGAAAAUAAUAACAAUAAACAAUUAUAGUAAUUAAAGACGAAGGAAAAAUCCAAAACAGUGUUGGUGUUGCCGUUGCUUUAAUGGAGAAUGUCGGAGCAACGCCGAAAAAUUAGAGCACGGAUAGAUCUGGCCAAAUUUUGGGUGAACAGUGGCGAAAAGGUUGUUUACCAGUCGUCCGGUGAUCAAAUUCGAUGAUGGUAGUGAAAAGAGGGAGAGAGAUCUGGUGGCAGCUUGUUUUUCGAUGUUGAAGUCGUUCGCUGGUCGUCCAGUUGCUAAAUCCGGCGACGGUGGUGGGAAUAAGGGAAAAGCAAAAAGGAGGCGGUUGGUUGGCUUGUCAGCCAAUUUUGCCGGAUCUGAUUUGGCAGUCCCAAUUUGUGGUCACCGGUCGUCCAACGAUUAAAUCGGCGGUUGGCAGUGAGGCGUCGGAGAGAGAGAAAGGAGGGGGUGGCAGCAGCAGCAUCUUGGCGGUGGUGGUCGAAGCUCCGGCAAUGAUGGCAGUGAAGGGAAAAAGCUGAUUUAUUUAUUUUGUGUGUGAAUCAUUUGUGGUGUGUAUUUUUGUGUGU